GUACGGCCGCAAGGUUAAAACUCAAAUGAAUUGACGGGGGCCCGCACAAGCGGUGGAGCAUGUGGUUUAAUUCGAUGCAACGCGAAGAACCUUACCUGGUCUUGACAUCCACGGAAGUUUUCAGAGAUGAGAAUGUGCCUUCGGGAACCGUGAGACAGGUGCUGCAUGGCUGUCGUCAGCUCGUGUUGUGAAAUGUUGGGUUAAGUCCCGCAACGAGCGCAACCCUUAUCCUUUGUUGCCAGCGGUCCGGCCGGGAACUCAAAGGAGACUGCCAGUGAUAAACUGGAGGAAGGUGGGGAUGACGUCAAGUCAUCAUGGCCCUUACGACCAGGGCUACACACGUGCUACAAUGGCGCAUACAAAGAGAAGCGACCUCGCGAGAGCAAGCGGACCUCAUAAAGUGCGUCGUAGUCCGGAUUGGAGUCUGCAACUCGACUCCAUGAAGUCGGAAUCGCUAGUAAUCGUGGAUCAGAAUGCCACGGUGAAUACGUUCCCGGGCCUUGUACACACCGCCCGUCACACCAUGGGAGUG
rnacentral:rRNA from 1 species